CCCCUCCAGAGACGGACAGUAAUGUCCGCCGCUGGAGGAGCAGGCUCGCAAGGGAGCGGUAUCGGAGGUCUGUUAAAGACCUCCGAUACUGCUCCCUUGUGAUCCGCGCGGCAACAGCUGCUCUGCGCCCACCGCUGUCCGUGCCCUCUGACCCGGAAGAAGACAGAAGAACUAAAGAAGAGGAGCGAAGAGAAGAAAAA